AUGGAGUGUGGUCUCCGUGCCAACGAGCUAUGGGACGCUGUCGACCCAGGAGGUGACGCGUUCAAGAAGGAGGGAGCCGAGCACCGGAAGGAUCGGCAGGCGGCGUCAGCGAUUUACUCGGUGAUGCCGAUGGAUGUCCUCCAGCACCUAAUCGUCAAAGCAACGGCGAAGGAGGUGUGGGAUACGCUGAAGCUCAUGUUCGAGGGACACACCCGUGUCAAGCAAGCCAAUCUCCAAACUCUCCUAAGGAACUACGAGACUUUGGUCAUGGGCGAUGAUGAGUCCGUGGAUGCAUUCGCUUCACGGGUGGCUACUCUCGUCAAUCGGAUUCGCACGCUUGGAGAGAACCUAACAGAGGCCUCGGUUGUCCGGCGGUUCUUGCGUGCAGCCCCUCCCCGGUACCUGCACAUUGUCACGGCGUUCGAGCAGUGCGUCGAUCUCGCGACUCUCUCCAUCGACGAUCUUGUCGGACGGUACAAGGCUCAUGAUGAGCGUAUGCGGUACAGUCUUGGGGACGGGAGGAGCGACGAGCUUGUGAUGCUCACGAAGGCACAGUGGAUUGCCCUAGAAAAGCAAGGCGGAUCCAUGAGCAGUAGCAAGAAGAAGGGGAAGCAGCGUUCGACGAGAAAGAACUUCGCCGACUCGGACGACGACUCAGAUGAUGAGGCUGCACCAGCACCACCGAGGAGGAAGUUUGACAUCAGGAAAGUG
rnacentral:rRNA from 1 species